rnacentral:rRNA from 1 species
CAGUCGCCGCGGUAAAACGUAGGGGGCAAGCGUUGUCCGGAAUCAUUGGGCGUAAAGCGCGUGUAGGCGGCUUGAUAAGUCCGUUCUGAAAGCCCAGGGCUCAACCCUGGGAGGCGGAUGGAUACUGUCAAGCUCGAGUCCGGAAGAGGCGAGUGGAAUUCCCGGUGUAGCGGUGAAAUGCGCAGAUAUCGGGAGGAACACCAAUGGCGAAGGCAGCUCGCUGGGACGUGACUGACGCUGAGACGCGAAAGCGUGGGGAGCAAACAGGAUUAGAUACCCCCGUAGUCCUUGUCUCUUAUAC